UACGAAGGGGGCGAGCGUUGUUCGGAGUUACUGGGCGUAAAGGGCGCGUAGGCGGCGCUCCAAGUUAGGCGUGAAAGCCCCGGGCUUAACCUGGGAAUGGCAUUCAGGACUGCGAGGCUAGAGUGCGGCAGAGGGGGAUGGAAUUCCGCGUGUAGCAGUGAAAUGCGUAGAUAUGCGGAGGAACACCGAUGGCGAAGGCAAUCCCCUGGGCCUGCACUGACGCUCAUGCACGAAAGCGUGGGGAGCAAACAGG
rnacentral:rRNA from 1 species